CUCCAUAACAAGAAAACAAACAACCCAAUCCAAAAAUGGGCAGAAGACCUAAAUAGACAUUUCUCCAAAGAAGAUAUACAGACUGCCAACAAACACAUGAAAGAAUGCUCAACAUCAUUAAUCAUUAGAGAAAUGCAAAUCAAAACUACAAUGAGAUAUCAUCUCACACCAGUCAGAAUGGCCAUCAUCAAAAAAUCUACAAACAAUAAAUGCUGGAGAGGGUGUGGAGAAAAGGGAACCCUCUUGCACUGCUGGUGGGAAUGUGAAUUGGUUCAGCCACUAUGGAGAACAGUAUGGAGGUUCCUUAAAAAACUACAAAUAGAACUACCAUAUGACCCAGCAAUCCCACUACUGGGCAUAUACCCUGAGAAAACCGAAAUUCAAAAAGAGUCAUGUACCAAAAUGUUCAUUGCAGCUCUAUUUACAAUAGCCCGGAGAUGGAAACAACCUAAGUGCCCAUCAUCGGAUGAAUGGAUAAAGAAGAUGUGGCACAUAUAUACAAUGGAAUAUUACUCAGCCAUAAAAAGAAACGAAAUUGAGCUAUUUGUAAUGAGGUGGAUAGACCUAGAGUCUGUCAUACACAGUGAAGUAAGUCAGAAAGAAAAAGACAAAUACCGUAUGCUAACACAUAUAUAUGGAAUUUAAGAAAAAAAAUGUCAUGAAGAACCUAGGGGUAAAGCAGGAAUAAAGAUGCAGACCUCCUAGAGAAUGGACUUGAGGUUAUGGGGAGGGGGAAGGGUGAGCUGUGACAGGGCGAGAGAGAGUCAUGGGCAUAUACACACUAACAAACGUAGUAAGGUAGAUAGCUAGUGGGAAGCAGCCGCAUGGCACAGGGAUAUUGGCUCGGUGCUUUGUAACAGCCUGGAGGGGUGGGAUAGGGAGGGUGGGAGGGAGGGAGACGCAAGAGGGAAGAGAUAUGGGAACAUAUGUAUAUGUAUAACUGAUUCACUUUGUUAUAAAGCAGAAACUAACACACCAUUGUAAAGCAAUUAUACCCCAAUAAAGAUGUUAAAAAAAUAAAUAAAUAAAUAAAUAAAUUGACCAUAAAAAAAAAAAAAA